GGAAAAGGAAAAAAAGGCCCUGAAGACACCUCUUUGCCAGAGCCUGCUGCCCCUCUUCUUCCGCUGCCAUCAUGAGAAGCGGCUUGUGGCACAGGUGAGGACCCGUGGGCUGCUGCUGUUCCCCUGGCAGGGGCCUCGGCUGCCUCCUGCUCUGGCACCUGCCAAGCUGCAGCCUCCUCCAGGCCUUGGCACAGGGACGCAGGUCCUGCACCCUGCGCUGUGGGGCCAUCUCCACGUCUCUGCUGCUCCCCAGGCUUCUCAGGAAACACUGCUUUCUGUGGUCGAGUUCCUGAAAAAAAGGGAUCUUGAAAGACUGGUGAAGAGGCAGAAUCUGUGGAAGUUCAGCAAGUGCCUGGUAAGGAGGGCCUGCAAGCCCCAGCCUCAGACCGGAGAAGGCCCCUGAGCGCAGUGCUCAGUGUGCAGGGCGGGCAGCUGUGCCCCUGCCCGGUGCUGCAGCCAGAGACCGCGCCGGCUCUUCUCCUAGCUCACGAUGGAGCCCCCGCCCGGUGGGGCUGCGGGCCGGCACCGCGGCUCCCCGGGCAGCAGCCGGCCCUCUGCCCCCUCUCCUCGGGAGCCCGGCGCCGGCCGCCGCUGGCCGCGCCUCAGGGCUGUGCAGGCAGGGGAGGCCGGGGCCGGGCGCAGGCAGCGCCCAGCCGAGGGGCUGAGCCCGCGCCAACCCUUCCCUCCUGCCGCUCUCUGCAGCUGGCAGAGGACAGGAGCAGAGCGGCCGAGCACCUGCACCGGGCCCUGCCCUACCUGCAGAGCCCACAGGAGCCCCUGCGAGCGGCGGCCAUCAGGUUCAUGGGCAUGGCCGCGCAGCACCUGAGGGAGAAGAAGGAAGAGUUCCGGCUCAUCUGCAACGGUGAGUGAGGGCAGCGGGCUGGCAGCGGGGGCUGCCGGGGAAGCUGCAAGCCCUGCCCCGGCUGCGGAGGGCUCUGCUCCCUGUGCGGAUGAGGGGCAGCGUGGGCAGAGCACACAGAGAUUUCAGGGCCACCUGGGGGAUUCAUGGCCAGCAGCUUCGGGCUGCUCCCGUUGGUCCCUGCUCCCUCCUGGCCAUGGCUAGAGCCAGCUGGGAUGGCCCGGGCAGGGGGAUCUCCUCAGCUCCUCACAGAUCCGGGAUCUGACCAUGGCUCUGUUCCUUUCUCUUUCAGCUCUUGAACACCUGACAGAGGACACCAGCAGUGCGGUGUCAGAUGUGGCACAUCAAACAUUGUAUGUCCUCCAGGCACUGCAGAGUGAGCGAUAUUCCAUCUUCCAGAGGGUGCAAGAGCAUCUCCGCUGGGCAUGGAGGACACGGCCUCGUCUGUCAGGGCUCGGCUGGCUGCGCUGCUGGAGCUCUGCAGAGAGCUGAUCCCAGAGACUCUGUCUGCUGAGGCCACCUUAGCCAGCGGGAAUUUUCCAUUUCUUUAAGAUUGUUCUUUUCUUCUUCUUGUUUUUUCUUUAGUAUAUAAAUGUAGAGUGUGUUAUAAUAUACAGACUCCCAGGAGCUUUCUUUUGCUGCCCAG
rnacentral:lncRNA from 1 species